CUCAUCUCAAAGACAAUUAAUAGCCUGUGGUCUCCACAUAAACAGCAACAAGACAAUGCUAAAUAUCACCGCCCUUGAAGGCAGUUUAGAGGGCUGAUAUUUCUUUUGAGACUAUCAGACUUGAUGGCUGAUGAUUAUUAAGGAAAUAUGUCGCAGGACUCAAAGGAUGACUAAACGUUAAACAGGUAACACUAAUAGUAACUCUGUAAUU
rnacentral:lncRNA from 1 species